GGGCCGGUGGUCUAGCCUGGUAGGACGCCUCCCUUACGAGGAGGAGGUCCCCGGUUCAAAUCCGGGCCGGCCCACCA
rnacentral:tRNA from 1 species